rnacentral:rRNA from 1 species
UACGGGGGGGGUAAGCGUUGUUCGGAAUUACUGGGCGUAAAGGGCUCGUAGGCGGCCAACUAAGUCAUACGUGAAAUCCCUCAGCUUAACUGGGGAACUGCGUGUGAUACUGGAUGGCUUGGAUUUGGGAGAGGGAUGCGGAAUUCCAGGUGUAGCGGUGAAAUGCGUAGAUAUCUGGAGGAACACCGGUGGCGAAGGCGGCAUCCUGGACCAACACUGUCACUGAGGAGCGAAAGCCAGGGGAGCAAACGGG